ACAACAACAACAACAACAACAAAGCCUUUUCCCACUAAGUGGGGUCGGCUAUAUGAAUCCUAGAACGUCAUUGCGCUCGGUUUUGUGUCAUGUCCUCCGUUAGAUCCAAGUACUCAAGUCUUUUCUUAGGGUCUCUUCCAAAGUUUUCCUAGGUCUUCCUCUACCCCUUCGACCCUGAACCUCUGUCCCGUAGUCACAUUUUCGAACCGGAGCGUCAGUAGGCCUUCUUUGCACAUGUCCAAACCACCGGGACCGAUUUUCUCUCAUAUUUCCUUCAAUUUUGGCUACUCCUACUUUACCUCGGAUAUCCUCAUUCCCAAUCUUAUCCUUUCUCGUGUGCCCAUACAUCCCACGAAGCAUCCUCAUCUCCGCUACACCCAUUUUGUGUACGUGUUGAUGCUUCACCGCCCAACAUUCUGUGCCAUACAACAUCGCUGGCCUUAUUGCCGUCCUAUAAAAUUUUUCCUUGAGCUUCAGUGGCCUACGACGGUCACACAACACACCGGAUGCACUCUUACACUUCAUCCAUCCAGCUUGUAUUCUAUGGUUGAGAUCUCCAUCUAAUUCUCCGUUCUCUUGCAAGAUAGAUCCUAGGUAGCGAAAGCGGUCACUUUUUGUGAUCUUCGCUAGAUUGCUCCGGUCAUUAGUGUGGAUAAGUAUAUAAAUGGAUAGAGAUAGGAAAGCAAACACAAGAUGUACGUGGUUCACCCAUAUUGGCUACGUCCACGGAAUAGAGGAGUUCUCAUUAAUUGUGAAGGGUUUACACAAGUACAUAGGUUCAAGCUCUCCUUUAGUGAGUACAAGUGAAUGAUUUAGUACAAAUGACAUUAGGAAAUAUUGUGGGAGAAUGAUCUCGUAACCACGAAACUUCUAAGUACCGGAGUGUGGUAUCGUCUUGACUUGCCUUAUCUGUCUCAUAGGUAGAUGUGGCAUCUUCUUUGGAAGUACUCUUCCUCCAUCCAGGGGUGGUAACUGUAACUGGUGGAGAUGCACAAGGUAAUGUAUCAAUUUCACUCGAAGCUUACUUGUAGUUUCAGGCUCGGUCAAGCGCGAUACAAACCAUGUAAUAGGAGUCCCCCAAGUCGCCGAGCUAGGGGAUCUGCUGAAAGAGGUGACAGACAAGGUAAGCAAUCAGAGCUCCGGCUGAUUGUUCACAUUCUCCCUAUCUUGCAGGCAACAUGAAGGAUAAAGAGAAGAAAAAUGAGAAGAGAUGAUCAUGAAGGAUAAAGAGAAGAAAAAUGAGAAGAGAUGAUCAUGAAGGAUAAAGAGAAGAAAAAUGAGAAGAGAUGAUAUGGGAUACUUUUGCUUUUGAAGAAGUAACUUUCCACAGGCUUAUUCUUGAACUGGGUUGGAGGGUUUUCUGGUUUCCUCCAGAGUAUAAGGCCGACUGAAGAAUUUGAGGGUCAAAACAAGUCCAUCAAAUCUAGAGUACGUUCGACCCUGCUGAUAUGGGAUACUUUUGCUUUUGACAGAGUAGUGGAUGUAUCGGCACGUGUGUGCUGUUAUGCUUGUCUCCACAUGCUUCCUUGUAUCCUUCUCACUUGCCCUAUCUGUUCCUCAGGCAGAUGCGGUAUCUUCCCUGGAAGCAUAAGAUGUUGAAGAUGAGUACUCGAGAGCAAUGCCAGGUAAGUAAUCAGGUAAGGGGUUCCAGGCAGUCAGUUCCUGGCUGGAAGCUUGAUUCCAAGUGCUGACUGAUUGCUCUUUUUCUUCUUGUCUUGCAGGCAAGAACAAGGCCAAAGGAAAAGACAGGGAAAAAGCAUGAUAUGGGAUACUCUUGCUUUUAACCCUUAUGAUAUGAGAUAUUCUUGCUCUAGUAUAGCUUGUUUACAGAGGUAUUAUCGGGGGGAAAGAAAGCUGAAUAUUUCGAAAGGCUUCGUUUGGAGUGCCCUCUCAGAUAAGAGGAAGGGUUGAGCAUUUUUGCAGGUCUGCCUGUCCGUUGGGGAUGGAGGUCGACAUAUAUAGGAGUCUCCCUAACAUCAAGUAAUAAUGUUAUUCCUUUACCCUGCUUGGUCAUAGCACGGUAGUGGGAGCUGCCAGCUUCACAUGUUUUAACUCUGUCAGAGCACUUUGAAAAAGUGGUAUGUGGUAUCUGGAAAGCUGAUGUUGCGUGUGAAGAUUACAGACAAGCUUUAUCCAAGGAGAUCCAGCUCUUGAAGUUGGGAAAGUGGUGCCUCUUCGGUUUUCGAACAAGCAAUCCUGUCGGGGAUCUGGCUCUCGAGAUUCGGAGAACGAUGCCUCUUCGAUUUUUGAGAAAGCAAUCCUGCUGGGGGUCUGACUCUCGAGAUUCGGAGAGCGGUGUCUCUUCGAUUUUUGAGAAAGUAAUCAUGUUGGGAGUAUGACUCUCGAGAUUCGGAGGGCGGUGCCACUUCGAUUUUGGAGCAAGCAAUCUUGUUGGGAGUGUUUUCUCGACUGUGAGUAAAGGUUGGGCAUGUUUGCUAGUCUACCUUGCCACGAAGCACAGAGGUUGACACACAGGGACUUUCCAAUUAUCCAGCAGUGGUACUGUUCCUUUACCCUCUCUUCGAUUUUUGAGAAAGUAAUCAUGUUGGGAGUCUGGCUCUCGAGAUUCGGAGGGCGGUGCCUCUUCGAUUUUGGAGCAAGCAAUCUUGUUGGGAGUGUUUUCUCGAAUGUGAGUAAAGGUUGGGCAUGUUUACUAGUCUACCUUGCCACGAAGCACAGAGGUUGACACACAGGGACUUUCCAAUUAUCCAGCAGUGGUACUGUUCCUUUACCCUCUCUUCGAUUUUUGAGAAAGUAAUCAUGUUGGGAGUCUGGCUCUUGAGAUUCGGAGGGCGGUGCCUCUUCGAUUUUGGAGCAAGCAAUCUUGUUGGGAGUGUUUUCUCGAAUGUGAGUAAAGGUUGGGCAUGUUUGCUAGUCUACCUUGCCACGAAGCACAGAGGUUGACACACCGGGACUUUCCAAUUAUCCAGCAGUGGUACUGUUCCUUUACCCUUGUGGGUAAUAAUAUGGUAGCUAGACCUUCAAAAUUUAUGUGUCUAAACUUUGUUAGUGUUGUUUCUUUGCUAUUCUUUUACCCUUCUUGGUCAGAGCGAUGUAGUGGGAGUUGCAAGCUUCACAUGUCUCAACUUUGUCAGAGAACUUUGGCAAAGUUAUCUGUGGUACCCAUGAGCUACUGUUGCGUGUGGGAAGUGGGUGAUUGAACAGUACGAUUCAUGUGCUUUCUACUUCGCCAGAAAUCUUCGACAGAAUGCCCAUAAUUUCCGCAAAGCUGAGUGUGCGUGUGACAGGUGCUGACAAGGCUGGAAAAGUAGGUGCCUCUUUGAUUUCUGAGAUCGGCCUUCGUGGUCUCUGAGCAGCCCAGCUUUUGAGAAAGCAAGCCUCUUCGAUUUCUGAGAUCAGCCUUCGUGGUCUUUGAGCAGCCCAGCUUUUGAGAAAGCAAACGCCUCUUCGAUUUCUGAGAUCGACCCUCGUGGUCUCUGAGCAGCCCAGCUUUUGAGAAAGCAAGCCUCUUCGAUUUCUAAGAUCGGCCUUCGUGGUCUUUGAGCAGCCCAGCUUUUGAGAAAGCAAACGCCUCUUCGAUUUCUGAGAUCGACCCUCGUGGUCUCUGAGCAGCCUAGCUUUUGAGAAAGCAAACGCCUCUUCGAUUUCUGAGCAGGCGCCUCUUCGAUUUCUGAAGCUUCGUCGAGUGCAGAUUUUUAUAGGGGCUGACAUUAAGUUCCAAAGCACACUUGAAUAUCCACCAGUAGAAGCUCCAUUCUUGCACUUCUAAGAUCUUGAUUUGUCCGACCUCUUCUCUCUUCAACACCUUUGAAAAUGUUUGGCCCCUCCGACCGUCGUUUUGACUUGAACCUUGUUGAAGAGGCAGCCCCGCCUUCUUCAGACAACAUAUGGCGCCCAUCCUUCGUCUCCCCUACUGGUCCUCUUACCGUUAGGGAUUCCGUGAUGAAGAAUGAUAUGACCGCUGCGGUAGUGGCCAGGAACCUUCUCACUCCCAAAGAUAACAUACUACUUUCCAAACGGUCUGAUGAGUUGGCUGUUAAGGAUUCUCUGGCUCUCAGUGUUCAGUGUGCAGGUUCUGUGUCUAAUAUGGCCCAACGCCUAUUUGCUCGAACCCGCCAAGUUGAAUCAUUGGCGGCUGAAGUGAUGAGUCUCAAACAGGAGAUUAGAGGGCUCAAGCAUGAGAAUAAAUAGUUGCACCGACUCGCACAUGACUAUGCUACAAACAUGAAGAGGAAGCUUGACCAGAUGAAGGAAUCUGAUGGUCAGGUUUUACUUGAUCAUCAGAGAUUUGUGGGUUUGUUCCAAAGGCAUUUAUUGCCUUCGUCUUCUGGGGCUGUACCGCGCAAUGAAGCUCCAAAUGAUCAACCUCUGAUGCCUCCUCCUUCUAGGGUUCUGUCCAGUACUGAGGCUCCGAAUGAUCCCCCUCCGGUGCCUUUUCUUUCUCGGGCUCUACCGACUGCUGAGACUUCUCCUAAGCAACCUUUGUGAAGGCUCCCUCUUGUUUGUUUAUUUUGACUCAAGUAUAUGUACAUAUUUGUAACUUAUCGGGGAUAUCAAUAAAUAAGCUUUCCUUCAUUUCAACGUAUUGUGUUAAAUACACCAAAGCCUUCUUCGCUAGGUUCUUUGAAUUUUCUUUUGUUGAAGCUUGUAUGUUGAAGCUUUGUGAGUGGAGCAUGUAGGUUGAGGUAGUGUUCCCUUAAUUUCCCGAGUGAGGAAAACUUCUCGGUUAGAGACUUGGAAAAUCCAAGUCACUGAGUGGGAUCGGCUAUAUGAAUCUUAGAACACCAUUGUGUUCUGUCCUGUGUCAUGUCCUCUGUUAGAUCCAAGUACUCUAAGUCUUUUCUUAGGGUCUCUUCCAAAGUUUUCCUAGGUCUUCCUCUACCCCUUCGGCCCUGAACCUCUGUCCCAUAGUCGCAUCUUCUAAUCGGAGCAUCAGUAGGCCUUCUUUGCACAUGUCCAAACCACCGUAACCGAUUUUCUCUCAUCUUUCCUUCAAUUUCGGCUACUCCUACUUUACCCCGGAUAUCCUCAUUCCUAAUCUUAUCCUUUCUCGUGUGCCCACACAUCCAACGAAGCAUCCUCAUCUCCGCUACACCCAUUUUGUGUACGUGUUGAUGCUUCACCGCCCAACAUUCUGUGCCAUACAGCAUCGCCGGCCUUAUUGCCGUCCUAUAAAAUUUUCCCUUGAGCUUCAGUGGCAUAAGGCGGUCACACAACACGCCGGAUGCACUCUUCCACUUCAUCCAUCCAGCUUGUAUUCUAUGGUUGAGAUCUC
rnacentral:lncRNA from 1 species